UCUGAGUUUAUCUCAGCAGUCUCGCCAGAAAAAUACAACUGGCAACAGGGGUUGCGCUCGUUGCGGGACUUAACCCAACACCUCACGGCACGAGCUGACGACGGCCAUGCAAGACCUGUCACCUUGUUCAAUAAAGCACUCUCGUCUUUCGACAAAAUUCAAGGGAUGUCAAGCCCUGGUAAGGUUCUUCGUUUAUCAUCGAAUUAAAGAACACGCUCCACCGCUUGUGCGGGUCCCCGUCAAUUCCUUUAUGUUUUAGUCUUGCGACCGUACUCCACAGGCGGGAUGCUUAACGCGUUAGCUUCGCUACAGAAGGGGUCGAUACCCCCCACAGCUAGCAUCCACCGUUUACGGCGUGGACUAC
rnacentral:misc_RNA from 1 species